rnacentral:rRNA from 1 species
GCAUUAGCUAGUUGGUGAGGUAACGGCCCACCAAGGCGACGAUGCAUAGCCGGCCUGAGAGGGCGGACGGCCACAUUGGGACUGAGACACGGCCCAAACUCCUACGGGAGGCAGCAGUAGGGAAUUUUCGUCAAUGGGGGGAACCCUGAACGAGCAAUGCCGCGUGAGUGAGGAAGGUCUUCGGAUCGUAAAGCUCUGUUGUAAGAGAAAAACGACAUUCAUAGGGAAUGAUGAGUGAGUGAUGGUAUCUUACCAGAAAGUCACGGCUAACUACGUGCCAGCAGCCGCGGUAAUACGUAGGUGGCGAGCGUUAUCCGGAAUGAUUGGGCGUAAAGGGUGCGUAGGUGGCAGAACAAGUCUGGAGUAAAAGGUAUGGGCUCAACCCGUACUGGCUCUGGAAACUGUUCAGCUAGAGAACAGAAGAGGACGGCGGAACCCCAUGUGUAGCGGUAAAAUGCGUAGAUAUAUGGAAGAACACCGGUGGCGAAGGCGGCCGUCUGGUCUGUUGCUGACACUGAAGCACGAAAGCGUGGGGAGCAAAUAGGAUUAGAUACCCUAGUAGUCCACGCCGUAAACGAUGAGAACUAGGUGUUGGGGGAAUAACUCAGUGCCGCAGUUAACGCAAUAAGU